ensembl:lncRNA
GUUGCUCCUCAGUGCUCCUCCAGUCUUCUCUCCUCCGCUCACAUCUACAGCCUCCAGCUUCUCACUUUGUUCUGUUCUUCAUCUAAACCUACCAUGAGUGAAGUGUUUUUGCUUUUCAUCCAGGGAGCUUUGGUGAAAUUACUGAAAGAUGCCUUCUGCCUUUGUUCGGAUAUCUUUUUAAAUAUUUACAAGUUGUCAUGUCAUCUCUGACUGGAAGAGGAGAGAAAUUUGCCGCCUCCUCGCUCUGGAGCCCAGAAGUGCAGCAUCACUGUGAGAAAGUCAGUUUUCCUGCAAAAGAGAAGCCAACCAAGGAGCGUCCCACUCCGGAGGGCUCCAGGAGCGACCCGAGGAUGUGCCAAAGAGCGCACGACGUCCCGUACAAGUCGCUGCCCGGAGCCGUGGGAGACCGCAUCAGGACGUCCUUCGGCGGCGGGACUUUGUGCAGGAGCUCCCAGUCGGUGAAUCCGGGCUUCGGGAGGUCUGAUGGGAAAGUUGCGUGCUGUGAGAAGUGCUCUGCGACCCUGGUAGCUCUGAAGAAACAGGCGCUGAGUCUGGCUGUUCACCAUCACUUCUCCUGCAAGGACUCAAGUGAUCUGUCAGCAUUUCUUCAUGACAACCUUCGUGUCCAUAGUCGGUCCAUUGCAGAGUCCAGGGAAAGAGACCGUGAACAGGGCGAGUGUGGAUCCUGCGGUACGAACCUGAACCAGCUCAAACAGGAAGCCGUCCACCUGGCUCUGAACAGGGGUCAGUCUUUAGCUAAGCCUCCUUUUGAAGCUGCUGCUUCACUGUGGGGACAAACUGAGACAAACUAUGGAGACAGGGCUUCCAGGGAGGCUCUGCACCAACCGCACAGUCAAACCUGUAGUCCUCACAGUCCCAGAAGCCCCAGGACGCCUCAAAGAACCCCCCAGACCCUCAGACGAAGGGGUCCCAAGCCCCUAAACCCCAACAUGGAUCGAUGGGUGGAGGAGCAACAGCAGCUGGUGUCCAGAGCUGAUGGUGUCACCACAUACCAUCAG